rnacentral:tRNA from 1 species
GCCGGGAUCUCCUAGCCUGGUAGGGAGCUAACACCUAUGGGUGGCUCAUGCCUGGAAAGCUAGUGUCCGUAUGGACGCAAGGGUUCAAAUCCCUUUCCCGGCGCCA